rnacentral:rRNA from 1 species
AGAGUUUGAUUAUGGCUCAGGAUGAACGCUGGCGGCGUGCUUAACACAUGCAAGUCGAACGGGGAACAUUUUAUUGAAGCUUCGGCAGAUUUGAUUUGUUCCUAGUGGCGGACGGGUGAGUAACGCGUGGGUAACCUGCCUCACACUGGGGGAUAACAGUCAGAAAUGGCUGCUAAUACCGCAUAAGCGCACAGCAUCGCAUGAUGCAGUGUGAAAAACUCCGGUGGUGUGAGAUGGACCCGCGUUGGAUUAGCUAGUUGGCAGGGCAGCGGCCUACCAAGGCGACGAUCCAUAGCCGGCCUGAGAGGGUGAACGGCCACAUUGGGACUGAGACACGGCCCAG